CCUACGGGAGUCAGCAGUGGGGGAUAUUGCACAAUGGGGGGAACCUUGAUGCAGCGACGCCGCGUGGGUGAAGGAGUGCUUCGGCAUGUAAAGCCCUAUCGGCAGGGAAGAAGCAAGACGGUACCUGACUAAGAAGCCCCGGCUAACUACGUGCCAGCAGCCGCGGUAAUACGUAGGGGGCGAGCGUGAUCCGGAUUCACUGGGUGUAAAGGUAGCGUCGACGGCCAUGCAAGCCAGGGGUGAAAGCCCGGGGCCCAACCCCGGGACUGCCCUUGGAACUGUGCGGCUAGAGUGCGGGAGGGGCAGGCGGAAUUCCUGGGGGAGGGGUGAAAUGCGGAGAUAUCAGGAGGAACACAGGCGGCGGAGGCGGCCGGCUGGACCGCGACUGACGUUGGGGCUCGAAAGCGUGGGGAGCGAACAGGAUUAGAUACCCCAGUAGUC
rnacentral:rRNA from 1 species